GAACAGGCGGAAAAUGCCCGCGGACCCGGUUCGUAACCCGAGGAGACAGAGCAAGCAGAGAUUUUCCAGCUUCCUCCUGGAAAAAGUGGUGCAUGUUGGAAUCUCAGAGUGCUUGCUUUGGUUUCUCUGGGCAAAAAGAAGCUGUGUUCAGAGACACUGGAUUGCGUGGGGGUCCUUUCCUCGUCUUCCCCAAAGCUCUAGAUCCUGCACGUGUGGUGGCUGGAACAGGCCCUCUGAUCUCUGCCACCUGCUUACGACCUGGCCGGAUCCGGUCCUCACGCCAACCUUCUGCUCACUGCAGGAAUCCGUGUUAAAUCCUGUAUCUGCUACAGAUGGGUGGUUGGGCCUUACCUGAGGCCUCCAAUAAAGGUGUCAUUGGGCAUAACGGGCAGUGGAACCCAUUAUUUGUUGUGAGCUGCCCAGCGUUGUGUUUCAAGGUGGGCAGCCAUGCAAAUGUUUUAAAUAAAAUAAAUCAUCUUUGUGUGGAACAAUUGGUUCCACUGCCAAAUUGUUCUUACUGUCGGGGGGGGGAAAAUACCCUUCCCAGCAUUAAAUCAGAAUCUACCUUCCUGUAACUUAAACCUGUUAUUCCACAUCCUACCCCCUCGAAUGAAAACAAAUCUCUACUGCUCCUGUGACAUUCCUGUAAGAAUUUUGUAUCAUCAGUUGCCUCUCUUGGCUCUUUGAAACUCUCUUCAUAGAGUUUACUUUCUAGUCCUCUGAUUGUUUUUGUGGACAAGCUUUGAACCUAAUUCCUCUGAAUUCCAGAAAUGUGAUGCCUAGAAGUAGACACAGUCCAUGAGGUAGGAUCUGACCGAAGCAGAAUAAAACUGAAUGAUUACUA